rnacentral:rRNA from 1 species
ACAGGUGGCAGUACCUAGCUAAACGUGGUUGAUCUCAGACGUUAAACAGGAUCAGGUCUGGUGAAAUAAUUAAAUGGGAGACCACCAGGAAAUCCCAGGUCUAUCAGCU